rnacentral:rRNA from 1 species
AUUGAACGCUGGCGGCAUGCUUUACACAUGCAAGUCGAACGGUAACAGGCCUUCGGGUGCUGACGAGUGGCGAACGGGCGAGUAAUGCAUCGGAACGUACCCAGAGGUGGGGGAUAACGCAGCGAAAGCUGUGCUAAUACCGCAUGUGAUCUGAGGAUGAAAGCGGGGGACCGAGCAGCAAUGUUUGGCCUCGCGCCUUUGGAGCGGCCGAUGUCGGAUUAGCUAGUUGGUGGGGUAAAGGCCUACCAAGGCGACGAUCCGUAGCUGGUCUGAGAGGACGACCAGCCACACUGGGACUGAGACACGGCCCAGACUCCUACGGGAGGCAGCAAUGGGGAAUUUUGGACAAUGGGCGCAAGCCUGAUCCAGCAAUGCCGCGUGCGGGAAGAAGGCCUUCGGGUUGUAAACCGCUUUUGGCAGGAACGAAACGGUGUCCGCUAAUACCGGGCGCUAAUGACGGUACCUGCAGAAUAAGCACCGGCUAACUACGUG